UACGGAGGGUGCAAGCGUUAUCCGGAUUCACUGGGUUUAAAGGGUGCGUAGGAGGGCAGGUAAGUCAGUGGUGAAAUCUUCGAGCUUAACUCGGAAACUGCCGUUGAUACUAUCUGUCUUGAAUAUCAUGGAGGUAAGCAGAAUAUGUCAUGUAGCGGUGAAAUGCUUAGAUAUGACAUAGAAUACCGAUAGCGAAGGCAGCUUACUACAUGUUAAUUGACGCUGAGGCACGAAAGCGUGGGGAGCAAACAGG
rnacentral:rRNA from 1 species